rnacentral:rRNA from 1 species
GACACGUGGUAUCCUGUCUGAAUAUGGGGGGACCAUCCUCCAAGGCUAAAUACUCCUGACUGACCGAUAGUGAACCAGUACCGUGAGGGAAAGGCGAAAAGAACCCCGGCGAGGGGAGUGAAAAAGAACCUGAAACCGUGUACGUACAAGCAGUGGGAGCACGCUUAGGCGUGUGACUGCGUACCUUUUGUAUAAUGGGUCAGCGACUUAUAUUCUGUAGCAAGGUUAACCGAAUAGGGGAGCCGAAGGGAAACCGAGUCUUAACUGGGCGUUAAGUUGCAGGGUAUAGACCCGAAACCCGGUGAUCUAGCCAUGGGCAGGUUGAAGGUUGGGUAACACUAACUGGAGGACCGAACCGACUAAUGUUGAAAAAUUAGCGGAUGACUUGUGGCUGGGGGUGAAAGGCCAAUCAAACCGGGAGAUAGCUGGUUCUCCCCGAAAGCUAUUUAGGUAGCGCCUCGUGAAUUCAUCUCCGGGGGUAGAGCACUGUUUCGGCAAGGGGGUCAUCCCGACUUACCAACCCGAUGCAAACUGCGAAUACCGGAGAAUGUUAUCACGGGAGACACACGGCGGGUGCUAACGUCCGUCGUGAAGAGGGAAACAACCCAGACCGCCAGCUAAGGUCCCAAAGUCAUGGUUAAGUGGGAAACGAUGUGGGAAGGCCCAGACAGCCAGGAUGUUGGCUUAGAAGCAGCCAUCAUUUAAAGAAAGCGUAAUAGCUCACUGGUCGAGUCGGCCUGCGCGGAAGAUGUAACGGGGCUAAACCAUGCACCGAAGCUGCGGCAGCGACGCUGAUGCGUUGUUGGGUAGGGGAGCGUUCUGUAAGCCUGCGAAGGUGUGCUGUGAGGCAUGCUGGAGGUAUCAGAAGUGCGAAUGCUGACAUAAGUAACGAUAAAGCGGGUGAAAAGCCCGCUCGCCGGAAGACCAAGGGUUCCUGUCCAACGUUAAUCGGGGCAGGGUGAGUCGACCCCUAAGGCGAGGCCGAAAGGCGUAGUCGAUGGGAAACAG